rnacentral:lncRNA from 1 species
UCUUCUGUCUAGAUGAUUUGUCUAAUGCUGAGAGUUGGAUGUUGAAGUCCCUAACUAUUAUCAUAUUGGGACAACUUAGUGCCCUGAAGAAGAAGAAGGAUAAUGGUUUGCAAUCAAUGCUCAUGGACAAGACACCUAAUCUGAACUUAACCAAAAAGUCAAUAUUUAACUGUACCUUAUCAGUGUGGAAAUGUCAAGCAUAGCAAGAGACAACGAACAAAUUUCCAAGUGAUUUCUCUUUUUUUUAUGUUUUGGUGUUCACAGCUAUGUGGAAGUGUUUCAACAUCAGAUAAGACAAAAUGGCCUUUGGGAGAAAAAAAAAGACAGCAAAUUACAAUACUUGCACUUGCCGAAACCACAGUUUAUGAGAGGAAAGCAGACACUGGAUAUGCAUUCUAUUCUCUCCUAGCACAUUCCCUGGUUCACCUUCCUGCCUGUGUGAUGCUAGCCCUUGAUUGUUUCCCACAGCUGGCAGCCUUUAAGAGACAGAUAUGUUGAAAUGUCUCCUUGCUGAGUAAAGUCACUAUCUGUUGCCACCCAACACAAUUGACACAAAUUAUUUGCACUCUAAAUUUCCAUGCCUAGGAGUAGAUACAUAAAGCAUGACUAGGAGGACUGUGGGUCUGCAAAACAGGAGCUCCACCUGAAUUUCCUGGAAGUUAUGGCCAGUUAAUGUAGAGAAAGAGGUUUUCAAAAUUGUAAGAACUUCAGGACCUUUGUCAGAAUUCCAUCUCGCUCCACAGGACUCCAGCUAACCUCACCCACAUAACUGGUGUUGAAAGUUUUAUUUUGUUAGAAAAUAAUGUUACACUGGAAAAACCUAUGCUGGUACUCACAUUUAAUGGGAUGUUGGACUGUCAGCAUUACAAUACAAGAAAGAAAGGUGAUGACUUAAAUGGAUAAAUAUGCAUUGUUGCUAACUGACUUUUUAAGGAAUUGUGGGUGGGCUUGACAUAACAGGGAACAUGAACAUGGAGAUCUGAAAAAUACUGAUAGAGAAAACAUCAUUUCAUCUGGGACUACAACUAGAAAGGACCUUUUUGAACUAGAUUCACAGAACAGUGAUUCAUGGAGUUCACCAAGGGUAGUGACCAACCAUUUCAAACUAUGUAUAUAGUAAAAAUAAUGUAGGUGCUUGUUAAAAAUGCAGAUUCCCAUGGACUUCCCCCUGGAGAUUCUGAUUCAGGGUGUUAAAAUAAUUCAUGCGGAGGCCAUUACACUGGGGUGGCUCCAUUGCUCUGGGUUUCUACUAAACAAACUGAAACCCAACUCAGUGUUAACAGGAAAACAACCAAUCAGAAACUGCCAACUGACCUCUAGUGGGACUUUCUACUGGAAUCAUCCAAAUAAGGCUACUGAUCCACUUUAACCAAUAAAAAAAAUG